rnacentral:tRNA from 1 species
GCGCCGGUGGUGUAAGGCGUAACAUCGAUGCACGGAAAGCAAAAGGUGCGGGUUCGAAUCCCGCCCGGCGCA